rnacentral:rRNA from 1 species
UACCCACUAGCUAGCCCUCUUACCCAAGCACAAAAACCACCCAUGAAUAACCCCAAACAAAAUAAACAGCAACAGUUAAACCAUUCUCCCACCCCAGUAUGGGCGACAGAAAAGGAAACAUAGGCGCAAUAGAAAAAGUACCGCAAGGGAACGCUGAAAAAGAUAUGAAACAGCCCAGUAAAGUACAAAAAAGCAGAGAUACCCCCUCGUACCUUUUGCAUCAUGAGUUAACAAGCAUUUGUUACGCGUAACGUUCUUGAGCUUCAAACCCCGAAAUUAAGUGAGCUACCCCAGGACAGCCUAAUGAUUAGGGCCAACCCGUCUCUGUGGCAAAAGAGUGGGAAGAGCCUUGGGUAGAGGUGAAAAGCCUACCGAACUUAAUUAUAGCUGGUUGCCCGUGAAAUGAAUAUAAGUUCAGCCCCCCAGAUUCUACCUUCUUAUUUACCUAUUAAGACCCAAGAUUCAUAGAAGCUGAGGGAGUAAUUCAAAGGGGGUACAGCCCCUUUGAAGCAGGACACAACCUUUUUAGGAGGGUAAAGAUUAUACUUUGUAAGGAAGAAGUGUGUCCCGGUAGGACUAGAAGCACCCACCCGAUAAGAAAGCGUUACAGCUCGAACACACCCAGACUCCAUAUAUCCCAAUAUUUUUAUCUCACACCCCUUCUCCACACCGGGCCAUCCGAUUCUUCAUUCGGAGUGAUAAUGUUAACAUAAGUAAUAAGAAAACAACAAAUUUUCUCCUACGCACAUGUGUAAAUCGAAAUGGACCAACCACCGACUAUUAACGAACUCAACUAAAAGAGAGAAAUGAGAGACACCCUGCUAACCAGAAAACCCCUCAAGCCCCACCGUUAAACCCACACUGGAGUGCCCGCUAGGAAUGACUAAAAGAUAAGAGAAGGAACUCGGCAAACGACACUUAAAGCCCCGCCUGUUUACCAAAAACAUCGCCUCUUGCAGCCCUAAGUAUAAGAGGUCGCGCCUGCCCAGUGACAUUAGUUAAACGGCCGCAGUAUUUUGACUGUGCUAAGGUAGCGUAAUCACUUGUCUUUUAAAUGAAGACCUGUAUGAAAGGUAUGACGAGGGCUUAACUGUCUCCUCUUUCCAGCCAAUGAAAUUGAUCUCCCCGUGCAGAAGCGGGGAUACGCACAUAAGACGAGAAGACCCUAUGGAGCUUUAGACAACAGGACAGACCACGUUAAAAAUGCUUUCAGGCCACAAACAAAUGGGCACUGUUCAAAUGUCUUCGGUUGGGGCGACCCUGGGGAAAGCAAAACCCCCACGUGGACUAGGAGCACAACCCUCGAUUUACUUAACCAUGCUCCCCGAAAUCAGAGACACCUCUCUAAUUAACAGAACUUCUGACCAGUCUGAUCCGGCUAGCCGAUCAACGGACCAAGUUACCCUAGGGAUAACAGCGCAAUCCCCUUCAAGAGCCCUUAUCGCCAAGGGGGUUUACGACCUCGAUGUUGGAUCAGGACAUCCCAAUGGUGCAACCGCUAUUAAAGGUUCGUUUGUUCAACGAUUAAAGUCCUACGUGAUCUGAGUUCAGACCGGAGUAAUCCAGGUCAGUUUCUAUCUAUGAAUAUGCCCUUUUCUAGUACGAAAGGACCGAAAAGAGGGGGCCCCUGCUAAAAGCACGCCCCUCCCCAGCCUAGUGAAAACAUCUAAACUAGACAUUACGGCAUACGUCCCACUGUCUAGUUAAGACACU